AUCUUCUGCCACGUGAAGACACACAGAAGGCACCAUUUUCGAGGAAUGGGCCCUCACCGGACAUCAUAUCUGCUGGUACCCUGACUUUGUGCCCUGACUUCCCAGAUUCCUGAACUAGUCAGCACGUAAGCCGGACUGUCUAGGAAAACCUCCCCUUCCUGUGUCUGGAGGUGUUGAAAAAAAUAAUUCAACAAUGCUGCCCCUGCUGGCCACCAGUGUACCAUGCAAUAAUUCCAUGGCCCCUGCCACAGCCCAGGAAAUGGAGGAAAUGGCCAGGCAGCCACAUUCUCUCAUCCUGCAGAAGGACCCUUCUAGGUGUUAGAGGUUGAGGGAUUUUGGCUACAUAUGGCCCCAUACAUCUUCCUAGCUAUAGAUUCCAAUGGAAGAAGAGAACUUUCUUUCCUCUACUGAGUGCAUAUAAACUUCUGCAUCUUGCUUCUGGCCUCAACUUGAUCUUCAGCAUCAACAUCAAGCAGAGCAGCAUGAGAUGCAGUGCAAUGAAUAAACAGUUCUUGGUCACGGGCUUGCCCUUGCAGUCUGGAAAGAAAAUCCUGCAACUGAGAGAGCCACCAUGAUUUCCUGAAGUAUUUGGUGAAGAACCAUUCUCCAAACGUGAAGUCAGGAGAUAUGUAUUGCUAUUAUCAGAGCUGAGGAAAAGACACUAGAAGUUUGAAAUCUCAGAUGUCCACAGCAUCAUGACACAUAGUUAGGAUUCCAUGCUGAAUAGAAGGGGGAACCUACUGAAGAGUUUUCAGCAGAAGAGAGACCCAAUAAAACUUGCGUGUAAAUUAUAACCAUUGCUUCUGUAUAGCAUUCUGAUUGGAGAGUCAGGUAUAGAUGCACAGAGAGCAGUUAGAAGGUUAUUAUAGUAGUCUAGAAGUGACUGUGGACUUGUAGGGAAAUGGCAAAUAUUUAGAAAACAAAUUCAAUAACACUCAGCAAUCAGUUGGACUUGGGGUAUGAGGAAGGGAGAAAUGUCUGGUCUGAUUCCAUCACAAGGCCUUGUAUAUGCUGUUCCCUUUGCCUAAAAAUUCCCUUAGCUCCUCUUUUAACCUGGCGAAAUGUUGCUCCUUCAUCAGGUCUCAGCUUGAGCAUCUCUUCUCCAGGGAAAUUGAUCCUCUUGCCUUUCCCCUGUUUAAUUUCCCUUCCCAUCACUUAUCACAGUUUAUAACGUUAUAUUCACUCACUUAUAAAGUACUUUCUUAAAUAUUUUAGCUCCUCUACAAGGAUGUAUAAUCCUUGAAGCAGGAGCUGUUCCCACCCAAGAAAAUGAAAAUCUCAGUCAUUAAGUACACAAACACGGGUCCAGAUUGCUUGGUUUCAAAUCUUGGUUCUGCUACUGGCCAGCUGUGUGAUCCAAGAAAAGCUACUCGACUUCUCUGUGUCUUCAUCUGCUCAUCUGUCAAAUGGAUAUAUGAGUAGUCCUACUUCAUGGAGUUGUUGCGAGGAAUCCAUUAGGUAAUGUAUCCAAAGCCUUUAGAAGGAUGUCAUGUUUAUAGUAAGCACUAGCACAGUGAUAGCUGCUUUAAUUGUUCUCUUCUUCUUUGUCCCUAGUACCUCUCCUAGUGCCUGCAGCCACGCAAUACAUAUUUGAAAAGUAAGUGGAAAUCUGUCAAGUGUAAGUUACUGUGUGGAUAUUGGUGUGAUGCACAGAGAAGAGGAAGCACUGGAAGAUGAUCAUGGAAGGGAGAGAAGGCAAGCUUGCAAAAUCAGCAUUGGCUAUUUAAAUAAUAUCUGCCUAUGAUGCUGUCAAGGAAAAAUGUUGUGGAGCCGUUGGAAAUGUGACAUUGAAGCUCAAAACAGAGGCCUGAGGGGAUUGAUUAAUUUCCCAGAGCCGCCAUAAUAAGGUACCACAAACUAGGUGGUUUAAAACAAUAAACAUUUAUUGUAUCACA